rnacentral:rRNA from 1 species
GAUGAACGCUGGCGGCGUGCCUAAUACAUGCAAGUCGAGCGAACAGAUGAGGGGCUUGCUCCUCUGACGUUAGCGGCGGACGGGUGAGUAACACGUGGAUAACCUACCUAUAAGACUGGGAUAACUUCGGGAAACCGGAGCUAAUACCGGAUAAUAUAUUGAACCGCAUGGUUCAAUAGUGAAAGACGGUUUUGCUGUCACUUAUAGAUGGAUCCGCGCCGCAUUAGCUAGUUGGUAAGGUAACGGCUUACCAAGGCAACGAUGCGUAGCCGACCUGAGAGGGUGAUCGGCCACACUGGAACUGAGACACGGUCCAGACUCCUACGGGAGGCAGCAGUAGGGAAUCUUCCGCAAUGGGCGAAAGCCUGACGGAGCAACGCCGCGUGAGUGAUGAAGGUCUUCGGAUCGUAAAACUCUGUUAUUAGGGAAGAACAAAUGUGUAAGUAACUAUGCACGUCUUGACGGUACCUAAUCAGAAAGCCACGGCUAACUACGUG